UCAAAGGAAUUGACUGGGGCCCGCACAAGCAGCGGAGCGUGUGGUUUAAUUCGAUGAUACGCGAAGAACCUUACCAGGGCAUGACAUGCUUGGGAAUCCCCCCUGAAAGGGGGGAGUGCCUUCGGGAGCCCUUGCACAGGUGCUGCAUGGCUGUCGUCAGCUCGUGUCGUGAGAUGUUGGGUUAAGUCCCGCAACGAGCGCAACCCUCGUACCUGUGUUGCUCUCUCACAGGAGACUGCCCCGCAAAACGGGGAGGAAGGUGGGGAUGACGUCAAGUCAGCAUGGCCCUUAAGCCCUGGGCAACACACACGCUACAAUGGGCGGUACAGAGGGAAGCUAAGGAGCAAUCCGGAGCUAAUCCCACAAACCCGUCCUCAGUUCGGAUUGGAGGCUGCAACUCGCCUCCAUGAAGUCGGAGUUGCUAGUAACCGCAGGUCAGCAUACUGCGGUGAAUGCGUUCUCGGGCCUUGUACACACCGCCCGUCACGCCAUGGAAGUUGGCAACACCC
rnacentral:rRNA from 1 species